ACACGCAAGGAAUUGUGCCUUUCUUAGUUUAGAGAAUGAAUGGCUGAUUUCCAUGUUUCAUAGGCCAAACUGACGAAGAGGGCAAACCUAUGCUCUGAUCAAAAGCCACAGAACGUCAAAUACUUGAAAUCGAGUCUCUGUUUCUCAAGCUGCUCCUCCUGUCCACUGUCAAGGCAGUGGUUACAGAACUUCACCCGAUGGGUUAGAUUGGUUUGUCUGCCGCUGCUUUUGUUUCUUGAUCUUGAUAGAGAAUUUCAUCAUGAAGAUUCCUGUACAGAUUGCCAGUGGUAGCACUAUUGAUGAUCACAGACCAAGGAGAUAUUCAUAAUUCUUCAGGGAGAUAGAAGGGUCAUAUAUUUUCAUGGUUGGGAUGGAUUCGGGGCAUCUGUUGUCCUUAGGUCCAUAGCAGAAGUGCUACCAUCUAGGGAAACCACUCCUGAACUAUGCUUGAUAGAAUAAUUCAUAUAGAUUGCUCAGAUUGGAAAAAUAGAAGAGGAUUGCAGAGGGCAAUCGCAGAGGAACUGGAGCUUGAAAGCUCAAUAAUGGCUAUUCUGGAUAACCAGGAUGAACAAGAUGAUUUUGAUGGAUCUGAUGAGAGAUCUAGGAAUGAGAUAACAAGUGUGUCAAGAGAGAUCAACAAUAUUCUGAAAAACAGCAGAUUUGUGUUGAUUUUUCAUAACGGUAGUGACAACGAGAUUGUUGACCUAUUCAACUUUGGUGUUCCUCCGAUUACAAGUUUUGGUGACAAUGUGAUGAUAUGGGCCUACAGAAGGAGGAUGUUGACAAUAAAAAAGUACGAAGAAGAUGAACUACUACAUGAACUGAGGUACACUCAUCUUUUCAUUUAUGAUAGGAUGGGGUUUCUAGCAACUGGAUAGUUGUAUGAACUACUGUGUAAAGAGGCUGACAUCAUAGUUGCUCGCAAUCCAUGCAUCCAGGGAGUUAAUCAAUUAAUGGUUGUCCAUUGUUGUUUGUACAAACUAUUCCUGCAAUGUAGUGUUUCCAAGAAUAAUUCUAAUUGGGUUGAUGUUGCUUCCAAUUAUUGGAUAUGUGAUGGAAUACUAGAAAAAGAUAUAACAUUGGAGACAAGUGCUGCAUUGCACCGAGAAAUAACCUGGAAAUGUGAUGAUAAUGUGCUCACAAAGUUCAAGGCACAUUUCAAGCUUUCUUUCCUCAUAGUGAAGGAAGAUGAUGUGUAUGAAGAUGGAUCAUACCGUUGGAUUUCAGUCACAUCGAGGGAUAGGGAAAUGCUUGGUAUGAAAACUUUACCUGCAGAGACAUCAUCAUUCUUCUUGGAAUUUGUAAUGUCCGAUCAGCAAACAAUGUUACCAAAUGGUUUGUUGGAACAUUCCAGCAACCUUGGUGCACUGACUCUCUAUUGUUGUGCCUUCAGUUUUGCAUCACCUCCUUUUCCUAAAAUGCCAUAACCUAAGAUUCAUUGGACUAGACCACUGUACAGAUGACAAAACAGGGGAAGGAGAGGAUCAUACUGAGUGGGUUUGUCUGCAUAGUUUGUGGGUAUUGGACCUAUGUUACACCCACUGGAAUGAAAUCUUAUCACCGGCAAAGAUGGAUCUCAUGCAUAACCUCAUGGAGCUAAGCAUAGAGGGGGUCUUGUGUUGGCAGUACACAACUUGCUUACAAGGGCGACUACGUAAUCUUCACAGGCUCAGGAUAAUCAAGCCUACACAUGGACCAGAUAUUUCAACAGACGCAAGCAACUCCUUCAUGGACAAGAUAAAGCUGGAAAUACUUGAUCUGUCUGGCAACAAUGAGAUGGAAAUUCUACCAAACAACCUGUCUAAGGCAAGUGGCCUUCAAGUGCUUAUUCUGGAUGGAUGCAAUGUUCUUAAAAAUGUCCUUGUGCCUGUUAGACUGUAUUUACAUGUGUAUAUUGUAAUGUUGUAUACCACCUCAUUAUAUAUAUAUGUGAUAGGCCACCCCUAGAGGGUU